rnacentral:rRNA from 1 species
GUCGCAGUUUGAUCCUGGCUCAGAUUGAACGCUGGCGGCGUGCCUAACACAUGCAAGUCGAACGAGAAAGUGGAGCAAUCCAUGAGUAAAGUGGCGACCGGGUGAGUAACACGUGACUAACCUACCCUAAAGUGGGGGAUAACCCCGGGAAACCGGGGCUAAUACCGCAUAAUAUCGCGAGGGGAAGAUCCUUGUGAUCAAAGGAGCAAUUCGCUGAAGGAGGGGGUCGCGGCUGAUUAGUUAGUUGGUGAGGUAACGGCCCACCAAGACAAAGAUCAGUAUCCGGCCUGAGAGGGCGCACGGACACACUGGAACUGAAACACGGUCCAGACUCCUACGGGAGGCAGCAGUGGGGAAUUUUGCGCAAUGGGGGAAACCCUGACGCAGCAACGCCGCGUGGAGGAUGAAGUCCCUUGGGAUGUAAACUCCUUUCGAUCGGGACGAUUAUGACGGUACCGGAAGAAGAAGCACCGGCUAACUCUGUGCCAGCAGCCGCGGUAAUA